rnacentral:tRNA from 1 species
GACUUUGUGGGAUAACGGUAGCAUAAUCCGCUCGUAUUCGAGAGGUCCAGGUUCGAUUCUCGGCGAGGUCA